AUUGAACGCUGGCGGCAUGCUUUACACAUGCAAGUCGAACGGCAGCACGGGCUUCGGCCUGGUGGCGAGUGGCGAACGGGUGAGUAAUAUAUCGGAACGUACCCAAGAGUGGGGGAUAACGUAGCGAAAGUUACGCUAAUACCGCAUACGAUCUAUGGAUGAAAGUGGGGGAUCGCAAGACCUCAUGCUCCUGGAGCGGCCGAUAUCUGAUUAGCUAGUUGGCGAGGUAAAGGCUCACCAAGGCGACGAUCAGUAGCUGGUCUGAGAGGACGACCAGCCACACUGGAACUGAGACACGGUCCAGACUCCUACGGGAGGCAGCAGUGGGGAAUUUUGGAUAAUGGGCGCAAGCCUGAUCCAGCAAUGCCGCGUGAAUGAAGAAGGCCUUCGGGUUGUAAAGCUCUUUUGUCAGGGAAGAAACGGUGGGAGCUAAUAUCUCCCACUAAUGACGGUACCUGAAGAAUAAGCACCGGCUAACUACGUGCCAGCAGCCGCGGUAAUACGUAGGGUGCAAGCGUUAAUCGGAAUUACUGGGCGUAAAGCGUGCGCAGGCGGUUUUGUAAGUCUGACGUGAAAGCCCCGGGCUCAACCUGGGAAUUGCGUUGGAGACUGCAAGGCUUGAAUCUGGCAGAGGGGGGUAGAAUUCCACGUGUAGCAGUGAAAUGCGUAGAGAUGUGGAGGAACACCGAUGGCGAAGGCAGCCCCCUGGGUCAAGAUUGACGCUCAUGCACGAAAGCGUGGGGAGCAAACAGG
rnacentral:rRNA from 1 species